rnacentral:rRNA from 1 species
CCUACGGGAGGCAGCAGUGAGGAAUAUUGGUCAAUGGCCGUAAGGCUGAACCAGCCAAGUCGCGUGAAGGAAGAAGGAUCUAUGGUUUGUAAACUUCUUUUAUAGGGGAAUAAAGGUAUCCACGUGUGGAUAUUUGCAUGUACCCUAUGAAUAAGCAUCGGCUAACUCCGUGCCAGCAGCCGCGGUAAUACGGAGGAUGCGAGCGUUAUCCGGAUUUAUUGGGUUUAAAGGGUGCGUAGGUUGUUUUUUAAGUCAGCUGUGAAAGUUUGUGGCUCAACCAUAAAAUUGCCGUUGAAACUGGCAGACUUGAGUGUGUUUGAGGUAGGCGGAAUGCGUGGUGUAGCGGUGAAAUGCAUAGAUAUCACGCAGAACUCCGAUUGCGAAGGCAGCUUACUAAGCCAUAACUGACACUGAAGCACGAAAGCGUGGGGAUCAAACAGGAUUAGAUACCCUUGUAGUC